UACAGAGGAUGCAAGCGUUAUCCGGAAUGAUUGGGCGUAAAGCGUCCGCAGGUGGCUGUGUAAGUCUGCUGUCAAAGAGCGAAGCUCAACUUCGUAAAGGCAGUGGAAACUACACGGCUAGAGUGCGUUCGGGGCAGAGGGAAUUCCUGGUGUAGCGGUGAAAUGCGUAGAGAUCAGGAAGAACACCGGUGGCGAAGGCGCUCUGCUAGGCCGCAACUGACACUGAGGGACGAAAGCUAGGGGAGCGAAUGGG
rnacentral:rRNA from 1 species